rnacentral:rRNA from 1 species
GAUGAACGCUGGCGGCGUGCCUAAUACAUGCAAGUCGAGCGAACAGACGAGGAGCUUGCUCCUCUGACGUUAGCGGCGGACGGGUGAGUAACACGUGGAUAACCUACCUAUAAGACUGGGAUAACUUCGGGAAACCGGAGCUAAUACCGGAGAAUAUAUUGAACCGCAUGGUUCAAUAGUGAAAGACGGUUUUGCUGUCACUUAUAGAUGGAUCCGCGCCGCAUUAGCUAGUUGGUAAGGUAACGGCUUACCAAGGCGACGAUGCGUAGCCGACCUGAGAGGGUGAUCGGCCACACUGGAACUGAGACACGGUCCAGACUCCUACGGGAGGCAGCAGUAGGGAAUCUUCCGCAAUGGGCGAAAGCUUGACGGAGCAACGCCGCGUGAGUGAUGAAGGUCUUCGGAUCGUAAAACUCUGUUAUUAGGGAAGAACAAAUGUGUAAGUAACUAUGCACGUCUUGACGGUACCUAAUCAGAAAGCCACGGCUAACUACGUG